rnacentral:lncRNA from 1 species
AUGGUCUCCCCAUGGAAUAGGGGACACAGGUUCAGGGAGGCUGAGUGGCAGGAUGCAUGUCACAGUGGUUUCCAGGUUUCCUGCCUCAGUGCUCCUGGCAUCGUCCCACACCCUGCUCAGCCCUCUAGCUACUUUAUCUCUGAAUCCAAAGCACGCACUCAUAGGCACUCCAGAGGUCCAUCCCCCCAUCAGACUUGCCAUUACUGUCUGCAACUCGUUCUGCUCAGGCUCUCAACAAGCCAGGUACUGAUCAUGCCAGCAGGAGGAAGCCCCGUCCUGCAGCCCAUCAACAGCUGGAGGUGCCCCAGGCCCUGGUCUCAACCCCUUUUAUGUCUAAUUGGCUGUGUGAUCUCAGAGGAAAAUAAACCUAGGGCCUCAGUUUUGCUUAUCUCAUCAG